CUCCCAGGUGAUGGAACACUGAAAUUUUGUUCUAUAUUUUGGUGAAAGAUCUUUCUGAAAUUGCUAAAAUUACUGCUCUCUACUCUCAUUUCUCUAAUUCUCAAAUGGCAUCCCAAGGAUCAUUAGAGGUGCCUCCAGAGGAGUUUCCUACUAGGAUCAAUUACCGUCCAAAUGGCAAGCCUCGGAUUGUAAUUGAACACUACAUGCCUGAACUGGAAGCUUAUAUGCCAAGAGAUGCUGAACCAAUUGAUUUAAAUGUGCUACGAGAAAUCAAUGAUCGAUUGACAGCUAUGCUAGAAGAUGUGAGAUUGAUGAAGAAACGACUCACACGUAUCAUGAUUUUACAGUUGCUAUGCCUCUUUGUUGCAUUUUCAGGUCUCUUUGUGAAGUUGAUUCGUAAGUAAGUAUUGUUACUUUGUGAGCCAUUUAACCUUCUAUCAGUGCUGCUCAGAAAUUUGUUUAGGAAAAUGGAGUGUUAAUAGUUCUUUGAUGUUUUGUGCUUUGAGUCGGUACUUUCUACAGCCUUUGUGCCUCAUCAGCUUGUGCUGUUGUAAAUAAGUUCUUGUAAUCAAGGUUUUUGGCUUUUGUUCAUUGAAAAGAAAGAGUUUUGGUCUUCCUA